GCUCCAAAGAGUGAAGAAGAAGGAAAAGAAUUCAUAGCUUCUCUUCACAAGCGAAAAACAGAGCUCUUCAUCUCCCUUAUUGAGAAAAGAUUACUCCCUCUUUGGCCUGGUGUGGCAAAGUCUGUUUCUCCCUGAUCUUCAAAUUUUAUAUUCCGUAUUUAGUAUUUGAUUCCUUCGUCUAAUGUGCAUAUCAUUUCAUUAUUGCAUUGGAAACUUGGAAACCUGAAGUAAGGCAGCUCGAAAUGAAAAAAUUAAGCAUGGUAAUAUAAACUGUUAAACCAUUAGUUAUGUCUUAUGGGAAUCACUGCUUUAAAAGGUACCAUUAUGGGUGCUAGGAAUAAAGAUUUUCCAGUUUACGAUCCUAUAUUCUUGGAAGUAGUAGUAUCUAUCUGAGAAGCAAGUUAUGACAAAAGACGCCAACAGAUGGUCAAAAAUCCAUUGCUUAAUGCAAAACAGAACGAUAAGUUCAGGUUUCAAUUCUAAAUAAGUACCAGUCUUACGCAUGCCACAUCGCAGCGAUAGACAUUGCUGAAUGAUUGUCAGAAAGGCUGAAUGGUGGAAUAGAGGGGUCCAAUAAUUCGGAUUUAGUUCUCUUCAAAUUUGUAUGUGUUGAAUCUAAUGGCAGGAUCACGAGUUAAAUGUAUAUUCUUGAAGGACUUAUCUGUUUGGCAUCCAAGUUAAGACAUCUUUAUUUCAGGUUUCUCCAAUAGUUUCGUGCUUGCUGGGACCAGAGCAAGCAGAAAAAUCAAGAUAUUUGCCGGAGAUGUUGUUCCAAGCAAGAAGCCUGAUCCUGUAAAUUUUUUGUCCACUGGCAGUUCUAGACAUAAAUGUUGUUAUAUUUCGAUUUGAUUAUUAUUUAUGCAUGCAAUGAUGCAAGUACACCCUCUAUGGCCAUUCAAGAGUGAUAAACUAAUAUUGGGCAGGUGAUAUCUUCAGAAUCAUUUACACCCUAAGAGGUGACAAAUAAUAGGAUUCUUUACUAUAAUUAUGAGACUGAAGUUGUUGCACAGGAUCUGUUUUUUGGCAUUUGUUGAUUUUAGAGUUCAAUUUGAUCCUAGUUUGAUGUCCUCACUGACAUCCUCUCUUGGUGAAUGAUAAUGCAAAGAUAAGCUGUCCAGUAAUGGAUAGUUUUUUACUUUUUUUUUUACAGGCCAUUUAUGUUCUAGCAGCCAAGACGCUUGGGGUUGACCCUUCAAGCGGCCGAAGAGGAUUUCUUAAACACAGAUGCAGUCUUUGACUGCAUUCGAGAUUCUCCAGAAGAACGUUUUGAUCUGGCAUUCUUUGUACGCCUUCUUGAAAAACAGAAGCUGUCAGCUACUAACUACGGGUCCCAACGG